ensembl:lncRNA
AAGAGACACAGGGAUGCACAUGAGAAACUGGGUUUGGUUAAAGGGAGAAGGCGACCCAGAAACACACCAAAGCACCAGAUAUUUUCCAGGAGAGUUCCAUGAAGAGCUCAGUGUUCUUGGGUUAUGUUAUUGAGUGUGACUGGUGGGGAGGGAGACUUAGAGCUUCUUCAGAUUGUAUAUCCAGGAGGCCUCUCUGAGAAGGUGACUCAUAGGCUCGGACUGAAUCACAAGGAGACACCCUACAAAGACCAGGGAGAAGGAGGAGCCCUUCCCACGAAGAGGCGCAGCAGGAGCAGAGGCCCUGGAUGGGAUCUCUGUGCAUGGACGAGGGGAGGUAGAAACAGCUGCAGGGAUGGUGGGUUCAGGAAGCAACACAUGAGUGCAGAUGUUGACACUGAAGGGCCUAGAGGCAGGAUGUUUCCCAUCAGGUGAAGACCAGGGUGUGCAGCUUUUGGACAGUAUGCAUGCCCUGAGAAGGAGGAGAAUAUUCUGUGCCUGAUCAGACAAGUGAACUAGAAAAGGUUCUGAGCACCUUUGUGGAUGAGCCACUGAGUCAGAAAGAUUGCAGCGCAGUUAUGCUCAAAUGUCUCAUUGGAGAAGGAGUAGGGGAGAUACAUUUCUUAUAUGAUUGUAACAAGCAAGGAAAAAUAACCCAAGUGUCAAGCUAGGAAAAUGAUGCAAUAAAUUAUGAUAGACCUGAAGCAUAAAAUAUUACGUGACUAUUUAAAAUCAUGCUUGUGGAGAAUUUUAAUAACAUAGGAAAAUACUAACACUACUAUCUUAAAUUUUAAAAAAUCUAAAACUAUACAUAAAACUAUACACCGUUAUAUAACUGUGCUAUUAUGUAUAGUUUGAAUAUAUAUAUAAUAUGUGUGUAUGUGUGUGUAUAUAUAUAUACAUAUAUAUAUAUAUACACACACACACAUAUAUUCAAAAAAUGUCCUGGUGUAGAGUGGUCCAAAAUGUUGUUAGUGGAAGUCUUUGAGUGGUAGAAUUAUAGUUAUCUUUAAUUUUUAUGUUUAUCCUUUUUUGCAUCUUUCAAAUUUUUAAUGAUACAUGCAUCACAUCUAAAAUCUAAAAAAUAAAGUAGGUCAACAGUUUUUUGAAUACCAGAAUUCAGACGAAAUUCAUCACACAGUUAUUCAAUUACAGAACAAGGAACUGCAGAAAGAAUAGAGGCAUCAGCUAGAAAAACAUUGGAAGGAACCACGUAACGAAGCAAGUUCCUCCCAAGAAGCAGGAGACUUUAUCAAACUCCUCAUUAGAGGCCUAGAAAAAGUACCUACAAAGAAGCAAGAAAUGUGGCACCCAGAGGGGGAAAAAUAAAUUAUCAUUUUAACAAAAAAAGGCAUUAGACAGUGUCGUUGAGGAAGCGAACCCAGUGUGCGGUCAUAGCCUCCAAAAAA